GAUGAACGCUAGCGGCAGGCCUAACACAUGCAAGUCGAGGGGUAGCAGGAUUAAGCUUGCUUAAUUGCUGACGACCGGCGCACGGGUGCGUAACGCGUAUGCAACCUACCUUAUACUGGGGUAUAGCCCGGAGAAAUUCGGAUUAAUCCCCCAUAGUACUAAUGAAUCGCAUGGUUUAUUAGUUAAAGCAUUGCGGUAUAAGAUGGACAUGCGUCCUAUUAGCUAGAUGGUGAGGUGACGGCUCACCAUGGCUACGAUAGGUAGGGGGCCUGAGAGGGUGGUCCCCCACACUGGUACUGAGACACGGACCAGACUCCUACGGGAGGCAGCAGUGAGGAAUAUUGGUCAAUGGGCGCAAGCCUGAACCAGCCAUGCCGCGUGCAGGAAGAAUGCCCUAUGGGUUGUAAACUGCUUUUAUUUGGGAAUAAACCUCUUUACGUGUAGAGAGCUGAAGGUACCAAAUGAAUAAGCACCGGCUAACUCCGUGCCAGCAGCCGCCGUAA
rnacentral:rRNA from 1 species